GACGAACGCUGGCGGCGUGCUUAACACAUGCAAGUCGAACGGAAAGGCCUUUUCGGAGGUACUCGAGUGGCGAACGGGUGAGUAACACGUGGGUGAUCUGCCCUGCACUCUGGGAUAAGCCUGGGAAACUGGGUCUAAUACCGGAUAGGACCGCACUUUAGUGUGUGUGGUGGAAAGUUUUUUCGGUGUAGGAUGAGCCCGCGGCCUAUCAGCUUGUUGGUGGGGUAAUGGCCUACCAAGGCGGCGACGGGUAGCCGGACUGAGAGGUUGGUCGGCAACAUUGGGACUGAGAUACGGCCCAGACUCCUACGGGAGGCAGCAGUGGGGAAUAUUGCAAAAUGGGCGCAAGCCUGAUGCAGCGACGCCGCGUGGGGGAUGACGGCCUUCGGGUUGUAAACUCCUUUCGCCAGGGACGAAGCGUUUUGUGACGGUACCUGGAGAAGAAGCACCGGCUAACUACGUG
rnacentral:rRNA from 1 species